rnacentral:rRNA from 1 species
UACGAAGGGUGCAAGCGUUAAUCGGAAUUACUGGGCGUAAAGGGUGCGUAGGCGGUUGUUUAAGUCUGGCGUGAAAUCCCCGGGCUCAACCUGGGAAUGGCGAUGGAAACUGGGCAGCUAGAGUGUGUCAGAGGAUGGUGGAAUUCCCGGUGUAGCGGUGAAAUGCGUAGAGAUCGGGAGGAACAUCAGUGGCGAAGGCGGCCAUCUGGGACACAACUGACGCUGAAGCACGAAAGCGUGGGGAGCAAACAGG